GAACGCUAGCGACAGGCUUAACACAUGCAAGUCGAGGGGUAACAGGGUAGCAAUACCGCUGACGACCGGCGCACGGGUGAGUACCGCGUAUGCAACCUGCCUAUAACUGGGGAAUAGCUCCCUGAAAGGGGAAUUAACACCGCAUAACACUAUUGAUUCGCAUGGAUUGGUAGUUAAAUGUAGCGAUACAGGUUAUAGAUGGGCAUGCGUGACAUUAGCUAGUUGGUGAGGUAACGGCUCACCAAGGCUACGAUGUCUAGGGGUUCUGAGAGGAAGGUCCCCCCACACUGGUACUGAGACACGGACCAGACUCCUACGGGAGGCAGCAGUGAGGAAUAUUGGUCAAUGGGCGCAAGCCUGAACCAGCCAUGUCGCGUGCAGGAAGAACCUGCCCUAGUGGGUUGUAAACUGUCUUUUAUAGUAGAAGAAACACAUCUACGUGUAGAUGUCUGCCAGUAUACUAUGAAUAAGCAUCGGCUAACUCCGUGCCAGCCGCGGC
rnacentral:rRNA from 1 species